GGGGGUAUAGCUCAGUGGUUGAGUGCAUGCUUAGCAUGCGUUAGGUCCUGGGUUCAACUCCCAGUACUGCCA
rnacentral:tRNA from 1 species